rnacentral:ncRNA from 1 species
AAAAUCUCAAAGGGGUGCUGUAUUUUAAUACGGCUGAGAUUACACCCAAUGAACCUAGAACAGGUAAUGCUGUUUAGGGAAAUUUUUAAAACAUAUUUU